rnacentral:SRP_RNA from 1 species
GCUGGGUGUGGUGGCGCACGCCUGCAUUCCCAGCUACUUGGGAGGCUGAGGCAGGAGAAUCACUUGAACCCAGGAGGCAGAGGUUGCAGUGAGCUGUGAUAGCACCACUGCACUUCAGCCUGGGUGACAGAGUGAGACUCUGUCUCAA